UACGAAGGGGGCUAGCGUUGUUCGGAAUCACUGGGCGUAAAGCGCACGUAGGCGGUUUUUUAAGUCAGGGGUGAAAUCCCGAGGCUCAACCUCGGAACUGCCUUUGAUACUGGAGAUCUUGAGUCCGGAAGAGGUAAGUGGAACUGCGAGUGUAGAGGUGAAAUUCGUAGAUAUUCGCAGGAACACCAGUGGCGAAGGCGGCUUGCUGGUCCGGAACUGACGCUGAGGUGCGAAAGCGUGGGGAGCAAACAGG
rnacentral:rRNA from 1 species